CAGUAGCCACGGUAAUACAGAGGGUGCGAGCGUUAAUCGGAUUUAUUGGGCGUAAAGCGUGCGUAGGCGGCUUCUUAAGUCGGAUGUGAAAUCCCUGAGCUUAACUUAGGAAUUGCAUUCGAUACUGGGAAGCUAGAGUAUGGGAGAGUAUGGUAGAAUUCCAGGUGUAGCGGUGAAAUGCGUAGAGAUCUGGAGGAAUACCGAUGGCGAAGGCAGCCAUCUGGCCUAAUACUGACACUGAGGUACGAAAGCAUGGGGAGCAAACAGGAUUAGAUACCCGUGUAGUCCCUGUCUCUUAUAC
rnacentral:rRNA from 1 species